AUUGAACGCUGGCGGCAGGCCUAACACAUGCAAGUCGAACGAGUGGCGGACGGGUGAGUAAUGUCUGGGAAACUGCCCGAUGGAGGGGGAUAACUACUGGAAACGGUGGCUAAUACCGCAUACCAUCCGAUGAGCCCAGAGUGGAUUAGCUAGUAGGUGGGGUAAAGGCUCACCAAGGCGACGAACCAUAGCUGGUCUGGGAGGAUGAUCAGCCACACGGGGACUGGGACACGGGCCCAACUCCUACGGGAGGCAGCAGGGGGGAAUAUUGCAGAAUUGGCGCAAGCCUGAUGCAGCCAUGCCGCGUGUAUGAAGAAGGCCUUUGGGUUGUAAAGUACUUUCAGCGGGGAGGCGUUACCCGCAGAAGAAGCACCGGCUAACUCCGUGCCAGCAGCCGCGGUAAUUC
rnacentral:rRNA from 1 species